rnacentral:rRNA from 1 species
UACGAAGGGGGCUAGCGUUGUUCGGAAUUACUGGGCGUAAAGCGCACGUAGGCGGAUUUAUAAGUCAGGGGUGAAAUCCCGGGGCUCAACCUCGGAACUGCCUUUGAUACUGUAGAUCUCGAGUCCGAUAGAGGUGGGUGGAAUUCCUAGUGUAGAGGUGAAAUUCGUAGAUAUUAGGAAGAACACCGGUGGCGAAGGCGGCCCACUGGAUCGGUACUGACGCUGAGGUGCGAAAGCGUGGGGAGCAAACAGG